rnacentral:snoRNA from 1 species
AUCCCAUAAUGAGGACACUUACGAAGUAACUCCUUGAAUCGCUCCCAAGCCUCAUACAAAGACUCGUCAUCCAAUUGUUGGAAAGUUAUCAUCUCGUUCCUCAACCU